rnacentral:snoRNA from 1 species
AAUGACCGGGUAACCCAGCCCCAUCACUACAAUCACAGGACAGAGGACAACUGGGUCUCCUGCUGCAGGGGGGCUGGGGCCCUGGCCUUCAAAGUGAAUCUAGAGGUUCUACACUA